GGAAUCUUCCGCAAUGGGCGAAAGCCUGACGGAGCAACGCCGCGUGAGUGAUGAAGGUUUUCGGAUCGUAAAGCUCUGUUGCCAGGGAAGAACGUCUGCUAGAGUAACUGCUAGCGGAGUGACGGUACCUGAGAAGAAAGCCCCGGCUAACUACGUGCCAGCAGCCGCGGUAAUACGUAGGGGGCAAGCGUUGUCCGGAAUUAUUGGGCGUAAAGCGCGCGCAGGCGGCGAUUUAAGUCUGGUGUUUAAACCUCGGGCUCAACCUGGGGUCGCACUGGAAACUGGAUCGCUUGAGUACAGAAGAGGAAAGUGGAAUUCCACGUGUAGCGGUGAAAUGCGUAGAGAUGUGGAGGAACACCAGUGGCGAAGGCGACUUUCUGGGCUGUAACUGACGCUGAGGCGCGAAAGCGUGGGGAGCAAACAGGAUUAGAUACCCUGGUAGUCCACGCCGUAAACGAUGAGUGCUAGGUGUUAGGGGUUUCGAUACCCUUGGUGCCGAAGUUAACACAGUAAGCACUCCGCCUGGGGAGUACGGUCGCAAGACUGAAACUCAAAUGAAUUGACGG
rnacentral:rRNA from 1 species